GACGCGGAAUAAUAGGAAAACCCGCUCUUAUUCAAAACCACAAAACUAGUCGUAUAUUUAAUAAAGCAGCCGGCAACAAAAACUUUUCCUAUAUAUAUCGCAGAUGCAGGGGCUGGAUAAUGUGUAAACCAGAUAAUUCACGCUCCAUAUGGAAACACGGACAGUUUCAGGACGUGACUAAAAGGGACUAAAAGAGUGAGCGCGUGUUACUCCCUUUCAUCCCUACCGGGGUGGUCGCCGCCGUUUUAGAAAGAUUCUACUUGGUGGUCGCCUAGGUAUUUUGUGACUUGGCAAAAGCCUUUGACUGUGUGUCAUAUGGAAUACUGCUACGGAAACUAGAGGUAGUUACAGCACUGUUCUUCAUCUUAUCAAAAAAGUGAUAUUUACGCAACUGCCUGAGAAGUACCACAGGAGUCUGCGCUUCUAUUCCUUCUGUAUGUCAAUAAUGGUGUUGCUCUUUUGCUGAAAACACAACUUUACUUUGGCAUUAUAUGUUCAGACUGGUCCUUGAAUAGGUGUAAUAAAAUUCAAUGAGGAUUUUAGAUCUGAGCCUUUCUGCGGCAUAAGUAAGAGUUUAUAAGUAUCAUAGCUAAAAAAAUGGAGGAAAAUCUCAGUGGAAUCCGUAACCCCAAAAAGUCUACUUACUAGGCUGUAGUAAGUCUGGGUAAAACAAACCUACGCAUUCUUACAGGAUUCCAGACAAGGCACUAUCACCUUGAGGAACACCAUAGCAGAUUCUGAGGAUAAUGAAACUCCAGAACUCUAAUUAGUGCUUGACAAGCCGUCACUUUAAAUCGCAAAAUCGCACCAUACGUAUGUCACAACUAGGAAUUUCUAGAGAGGGAUAUAUCCGUCCUGAAACCGUCACAGCUACUACCCUUU